rnacentral:rRNA from 1 species
AACUUACGCUAAUACCGCAUACGACCUACGGGUGAAAGUGGGGGACCGCAAGGCCUCACGCGAUUAGAUGAGCCGAUGUCCGAUUAGCUAGUUGGCGGGGUAAUGGCCCACCAAGGCGACGAUCGGUAGCUGGUCUGAGAGGAUGAUCAGCCACACUGGAACUGAGACACGGUCCAGACUCCUACGGGAGGCAGCAGUGGGGAAUAUUGGACAAUGGGCGCAAGCCUGAUCCAGCCAUACCGCGUGGGUGAAGAAGGCCUUCGGGUUGUAAAGCCCUUUUGUUGGGAAAGAAAUCCUGUCGAUUAAUACUCGGUGGGGAUGACGGUACCCAAAGAAUAAGCACCGGCUAACUUCGUGCCAGCAGCCGCGGUAAUACGAAGGGUGCAAGCGUUACUCGGAAUUACUGGGCGUAAAGCGUGCGUAGGUGGUGGUUUAAGUCUGCUGUGAAAGCCCUGGGCUCAACCUGGGAAUUGCAGUGGAUACUGGAUCACUAGAGUGUGGUAGAGGGAUGCGGAAUUUCUGGUGUAGCAGUGAAAUGCGUAGAGAUCAGAAGGAACAUCCGUGGCGAAGGCGGCAUCCUGGGCCAACACUGACA